rnacentral:lncRNA from 1 species
CCCAUGACGUUGACUUAAUUGGGAAAAUUGAACAUGGUUACUAAGAGGUGGGGGUGGAACAGUAACAAAAAUUAUAUGGGGUUGUUUAUCAACAUGAUCAGGGUCAGGGCUAGUCAUCUUUCUCUUCUGUUUCUUCUGUGCAUGAAUAUAAUUAAUCUACCAAUACCGGGCUGCAAUGAGUUCCUUGGCUAACUAAGCAUGCUCAAGAACCUCAGCAUAGGAGUUGGGCUUUAGUAUAGCAAUUUGGUCAAAGAUAUCCAU